rnacentral:rRNA from 1 species
UACGUAGGUGGCAAGCGUUGUCCGGAUUUACUGGGCGUAAAGAGCGCGCAGGCGGUCGUUCAAGUCGCGUGUGAAAGCCCCCGGCUCAACUGGGGAGGGUCACGCGAUACUGAUCGACUCGAAGGCAGGAGAGGGUAGUGGAAUUCCCGGUGUAGUGGUGAAAUGCGUAGAGAGUGGGGGGAGAACACUCGUGGCGAAGGCGGCCAGCUAGACCAGUUCUGACACUGAGGCGCGACGAGCGUGGGGAGCAAACAGG